AUGAGCGGCGGCGGCAGCCCGAGCGGGCCGGACUCUCGCGUGGAGACCAUCUCCCGCCUCGCCCAGUGGCGCAUCGACACCUUCGGCCCCUGCUCCUACCGCCGCUCCGACCCUUUCAAGCUCGGCAUCUGGAACUGGUACCUGUCGGUGGAGAAGAGCAGGUCGGUGUACGUGCGCCUCUUCCCGGAGCCCGGCCGGCUGGCCAAGGAGCAGCCGCCGCUCGCCCGCUUCGUGCUCCGCGUCUCCUGGGUUGGCCCGCCGCGCCGCUCCAGCGUCUCCCCAGUUUUCGAGCAGCUUCUCCGUAGCAGCGACGAUUUUGUGUGGCAAGUUGAUGUGAUGUCCCAUGGGCGUUUUACGAUUGACGUCGAGUUCUUGGACCUGAAGAUAGCCACGAACAAUGGCACUGAAUCAUCAUCGUCGAUCUGGCCGAACGAAGGCAUGGUGCAGGGCGUGGCCAGCAAGAGCACGCUGGGCUGCCUCUCGCGCAUGCUCACGGAGUCCAUCCACGCGGACGUGACCAUCAACACGACGGACGGCGUCCUGAAGGCGCACAAGUCGGUGCUGGCGGCGUGCUCCCCGGUGUUCGAGAGCAUGUUCGUCCACGACCUCAAGGAGAAGUCGUCGUCGACGAUCGACAUCGGGGACAUGUGCGUGGAGUCGUGCUCGGCCCUGCUGGGGUUCGUGUACGGGACGAUCCGGCAGGAGCAGUUCUGGAAGCACCGGCUGGCGCUGCUGGCGGCGGCGAACAAGUACGGGCUGGGCGAGGUGAAGUCGUGCUGCGAGGAGAGCCUGCUGGAGGACAUCAGCUCGGGCAACGUGCUGGAGCGGCUCCACGUGGCGUGGCUGUACCAGCUGGAGCGGCUCAAGAAGGGGUGCCUGGCGUACCUGUUUGUGUUCGGGAAGAUCUACGACGUGCGGGACGAGAUCAGCGGGUUCUUCCAGCACGCGGACCGCGAGCUCACCCUGGAGAUGUUCCAGGAGGUGCUCAGCGUGUGGAAGCCCAUCUGA
rnacentral:rRNA from 1 species